rnacentral:lncRNA from 14 species
GUCACCCUGGAGAAGCAGCAUUUGGUCCAGCGAAGCUGCCAAGGGAGGCAGGAUGACCACAUGAUAGAGCUGACCUGGGAUGCAAAAACACCAAGUGCCAAAUCUGGGGAGAGCUUGAGAUUCCAGAUGCAAUAUAAAAUAGAGUUCAAGACUGGACCAAGAUUGAUGCUCGUACUAUAAAG